rnacentral:rRNA from 1 species
GAUGAACGCUGGCGGCGUGCCUAAUACAUGCAAGUCGAGCGAACAGACGAGGAGCUUGCUCCUCUGACGUUAGCGGCGGACGGGUGAGUAACACGUGGAUAACCUACCUAUAAGACUGGGAUAACUUCGGGAAACCGGAGCUAAUACCGGAUAAUAUAUUGAACCGCAUGGUUCAAUAGUGAAAGACGGUUUUGCUGUCACUUAUAGAUGGAUCCGCGCCGCAUUAGCUAGUUGGUAAGGUAACGGCUUACCAAGGCGACGAUGCGUAGCCGACCUGAGAGGGUGAUCGGCCACACUGGAACUGAGACACGGUCCAGACUCCUACGGGAGGCAGCAGUAGGGAAUCUUCCGCAAUGGGCGAAAGCCUGACGGAGCAACGCCGCGUGAGUGAUGAAGGUCUUCGGAUCGUAAAACUCUGUUAUUAGGGAAGAACAAAUGUGUAAGUAACUAUGCACGUCUUGACGGUACCUAAUCAGAGAGCCACGGCUAACUACGUG